GCAUUGGUGGUUCAGUGGUAGAAUUCUUGCCUUCCAUGCAGGCUCAACUCUUGGCCAAUGCA
rnacentral:tRNA from 1 species